rnacentral:rRNA from 1 species
GACGAACGCUGGCGGCGUGCCUAAUACAUGCAAGUCGAGCGAAGUUUUUCUGGUGCUUGCACCGGAAAAACUUAGCGGCGAACGGGUGAGUAACACAUAAAGAACCUGCCUUAUAGACUGGGACAACUAUUGGAAACGAUAGCUAAUACCGGAUAACAGCAUUAACUGCAUGGUUGAUGUUUGAAAGUUGGUUUUGCUAACACUAUGAGAUGGCUUUGCGGUGCAUUAGCUAGUUGGUGGGGUAAAGGCCUACCAAGGCGACGAUGCAUAGCCGACCUGAGAGGGUGAUCGGCCACACUGGGACUGAGACACGGCCCAGACUCCUACGGGAGGCAGCAGUAGGGAAUCUUCCGCAAUGGGCGAAAGCCUGACGGAGCAACGCCGCGUGAGUGAAGAAGGAUUUCGGUUCGUAAAGCUCUGUUGUUAGGGAAGAAUGAUUGUGUAGUAACGAUACACAGUAGAGACGGUACCUAACCAGAAAGCCACGGCUAACUACGUG